rnacentral:rRNA from 1 species
CCGCCCGGGAACUACAAACACCAGUUUAAAACCCAAAGGACUUGGCGGUGCUUUACACCCCCCUAGAGGAGCCUGUUCUAAAACUGAUAACCCCCGUUAAACCUCACCCUCCCUUGUUAUUUCCGCCUAUAUACCGCCGUCGUCANCUUACCCUGUGAAGGAAAAAUAAUGAGCANNANUAUUAUAACUCAAAACGCCAGGUCGAGGUGUAUUAUAUGAGAGGGCAAGAAAUGGGCUACAUUCACUGACUAGUGAAUUACGAAUAAUCUGUUGAAACACNAGUUUGAAGGAGGAUUUAGCAGUAAAAGGAAAAUAUAUUGUCC